rnacentral:rRNA from 1 species
UACGAAGGGGGCUAGCGUUGUUCGGAUUUACUGGGAGUAAAGCGCGUGUAGGCGGGUCGUUAAGUUGGGGGUGAAAUCCCGGAGCUCAACUCCGGAACUGCCUCCAAAACUGGCGACCUGGAGCAGAGGAGAGGCGAGCGGAAUUCCGAGUGUAGAGGUGAAAUUCGUAGAUAUUCGGAGGAACACCAGUGGCGAAGGCGGCUCGCUGGACUCUUGCUGACGCUGAGACGCGAAAGCGUGGGGAGCAAACAGG